AAACCCCACUUUUUUUCAAAGUCAAGAUGCAUGCAUAUGCAUGCAUGCCAAUCCAUCAUCAUGUAAUGUUUGCGAUGCUGUUAGCAUCAUCAUCAUCAUAAUCGUGAUACAUUAAAUACUAAAGAGGGAGGUCACGUGACUUGUGUGGACAAAUAUCCAGUGGACAGAAAGGUAACAUGCUUGCUACUGCUGCCAGCUGACUGGACUUUUCCUCUUUUCGCAAGUAGAGUGGGGGGGGGUAGGCGAUGCGGUUGGCGCCGGUGUCGGACAAGAUCUCAGUGUGUUUAUUUAUUUAUUUGCUUUGCAAUUAGUUGGCGACGUAUCAUCCGUUGGAUUUCACUGCUGCUCCUUUCGAUGCGAACAUGACCACGUGCCUCGACUGCCCCCAGUUCAAAGCUCCCUCUCUUUCUGCUUUUGUUACUAAAGGUUGGUGGUACUGGUACUAGUACUAGAAUUGUAUUACACCUUUUAGUGACGAAUAUAUAUAUAUAUAUAUAUAUAUAGCUAGAUUAUGUGCAAGGAGUAAAGGCUAACUUAGACAUAUUUAACUUAAUUUAGAUUAUUAGCAUGUUUUUUUAAAUAAUUAUAGGUAUUAGAUUUCUAUUUGUAACUGAUUUCGGGUUUCUUUAAAAUAUUUAAUUUGAUAAAAAAUUUGCAUAUUCGAGUAUUCAAAAUUAACUUAUGUCCGAUUUAUUAUCAUAUGGUCGUAAAUGCUCAAGUCAAUUUUAUGAAUAUUCAUUAACUUUAUAUAUAUUUCUCACUUUUUUAAUCAAAUUUCAGUUUGUUAAAUUGUAUCAAAUAUAAUCAUUUUAUGAAUUAUGUUUAAUUAAAUAAUGAAAUGAUUAUUCCGUAACUAUUUAAACAAUCAUGUCAAUUAAAAAUGUUUGAUCACUUAAUUAGGACGAAUUAAAGUUUUGGCGAAGAUCUUUGAAAUUUAAUAUAAAUUGAAAGAAAUUGGAAUAUAAAUCCAACUUAGUUUGGAAGGUAUUAUUAUAUUAAUAUUGGAGACCUCAAAUUUGCAUUACUGCAUUUUAAACUACAUCAAUGGAAGAGCCUCUAAGCAUGGAAUGAAGAUUUAAACCUCAGUUUUUCUCGGUUUUUUUUGCUUGGUUGCAUGGAAAAGGAUGAACAGACUUUAAAGCUCAUCUCCUCUCCAUGAAGAAACCCCAAUUAAGGAACAGGAAAUCAUCAACAAUGAAAAGGGAAAAAACCAAAAAGUACCACCUAGUCUGGAGAAGAUCUUGAUCAUCAACCUUAUACCCCCAUUUUCC
rnacentral:lncRNA from 1 species